ensembl:lncRNA
GUAGAGGGCAGGAUACUGGAGGCUGAGGAGGAGAGGAGAGGAGGAGAGCUCUGGGGCCAUCCCAGGUAGAGGGCAGGAUACUGGAGGCUGAGGAGGAGAUGAGAGGGAGAAGCGGAGAGGAGGAGAAGAGGAGAGGAGAAGAGGAGAGGAGGAGAGCUCUGGUGCUAUCCCAGGUAGAGGGCAGGAUACUGGAGGCUGAGGAGGAAAGGAGAGGAGAGGAGAGGAGAGGAGAGGAGAGGAGAGGAGAGGAGAGGAGAGGAGAGGAGAGGAGAAUCCCAGGUAGAGGGCAGGAUACUGGAGGCUGAGGAGGAGAGGAGAGGAGGAGAGCUCUGCUGCUAUCCCAGGCAGAGGGCAGGAUACUGGAGGCUGAGGAGGAGAGGAGAGGAGAGGAGGAGAGCUCUGCUGCUAUCCGAGGUAGAGGGCAGGAUACUGGAGGCUGAGGAGGAGAGGAGAGGAGAGGAGGAGAGCUCUGCUGCCAUCCCAGGUAGAGGGCAGGAUACUGGAUGCUUGCAUGAAGCAGGAAUAUGGUGCAAUGCUGUGUCCCAAAACUAGCUGGACCCCUGCCUGCUUCUCUAUCUGUGGUGUCAUUUACUGUAUGAAGCUUUGGUCUGCAUGUCACGGAGACACUCAUCCUAUAAUAGAGGUCAUGGAGACACUCAUCCCAUCAUAGAGGUCAUGGAGACACUCAUCCCAUAAUAGAGGUCACGGAGACACUCAUCCCAUAAUAGAGGUCACGGAGACACUCAUCCCAUAAUAGAGGUCACGGAGACACUCAUCCCAUAAUAGAGGUCACGGAGACACUCAUCCCAUAAGAGGUCACGGAGACACUCAUCCCAUAAUAGAGGUCACGGAGACACUCAUCCCAUAAUACAGGUUGCCUUUGACAACAGUCUCUCUUGCCAUACAUUCAUUUACAGAGAACAAUAUUUCCCCUUUGUGUGAUUAUUACUAAAUGUAAUGACGUGAAAUGUCCCCCAGCCUGUCUGUCCCAGCGAGGUAUAGAGGGAGAUCUGCUGCUGUUUACACUGCCUUCACAAUCCACGGGUCAAAUCCCUCCCCAAGCGCUACUUUCCCCCCACCCUAUUGUUCCUAUAGAUAGUCCUUCAGGAGAACAGCCCGGUGGGUUGGGGGAUAUUGUUAGGUUGAAGAUACCCAGGUUAGGACAACAGGGAAAUAACAUCCCACAACUCAGACUGUUAGAGGGUUAGAGGCUAGGAGGCAACAAGUUAUACAGGAAGGAGUUGUCUUGUUUGAGGGCGGGUUAGAGGCCAGAGGAGGCUUCCAGAGGAGGCUACACAGGAAGGUGAUGUCUUGUUUAAAGCAUUGUUAAAGUCUCAGACAGGAGAUAUCUGUUAG